rnacentral:rRNA from 1 species
GACGAACCGUGCGAACGUUGUUCGGAAUCACUGGGCUUAAAGGGCGCGUAGGCGGGCAAUCAAGUCUGAGGUGAAAUCCUCCAGCUUAACUGGAGAAGUGCCCUGGAUACUGAUUGCCUCGAGGAUGGUAGGGGCAUCUGGAACUAGCGGUGGAGCGGUGAAAUGCGUUGAUAUCGCUAGGAACUCCGGUGGCGAAGGCGAGGUGCUGGACCAUUUCUGACGCUGGAGGCGCGAAAGCCAGGGGAGCGAACGG